GGAUUGUGAAAAGGAGGAUGUCCAAAGAAGGUGUUGAAGAGGCCAGAGUCAGAUGGAAGCCGUGUUCUGGAUGUGGGAUGAAAUGGAAAGACUCCUGGGAGCCAUUAAAUCACUUUUUGUAAAAUACAGUGGGUUAUAAAAAGAAAU